GACGAACCGUGCGAACGUUGUUCGGAAUCACUGGGCUUAAAGGGCGCGUAGGCGGUUCGUCAAGUCCUGUGUGAAAUCCCCCGGCUCAACUGGGGAACUGCACAGGAAACUAGCGGGCUUGAGUUCGGGAGAGGGAAGCGGAAUUCCGGGUGUAGCGGUGAAAUGCGUAGAUAUCCGGAGGAACACCGGUGGCGAAGGCGGCUUCCUGGACCGACACUGACGCUGAGGCGCGAAAGCUAGGGGAGCAAACGGG
rnacentral:rRNA from 1 species